GCUGAUGUAAUCCUUACCCCUCUUAUGAAGCCUUGGCCUCUCUUCUCUUGGACAGAAUUGUUCUUUGGAAAGUAGAAUAGAUGAUGAAAGCUCAGUGGGGGAACACGAGGCAGUUACAAAGAGGCUGAAGUAAAAGAAAGUCAAGAAUAUGAACAAUUCGGAGCUGGUGCUUGUGAUGCCUGGAGAAAAGCACUUCAUGCAAAAGUUGCAGAGAACUUUUUGCUCUCCUCAUUAAUGUAUCGAAGAAGGAGAUUUUUACUCAAAGGAUGUGUACAAAGAAGUCAGGCUGCUUGUUCUGUGGAACCCAGAGUCAGAGGAACGGAUGAAGAAGAAAGAAGUGUGACCCUGUGUGUGUGUUUGGCUUCAUCUCCCCAUGGAUCAGGAGUUCAUUUAGAAAGUUAAUGCUAUCUGUUGUCUUUCUCUUACGUGUCCUAAAUUUACUGAUCACUGACAGCUUCUAUUCUUCAACCUUUUUUGGGGAGUCUCGCUGAAAUUUUAGUUAUGGAGUAACUUUUAUUGAAACAAUUUACGUUACAAUUCAUACUGUAUCUUGUAGAAUUAACUAUUCUAGAUUAUUCAAGCUGGAAAAGUCAGGAAGUUGCUGAACACAUCAUAGCCAGUAAUGAAUGAAGUUCAAAUACUGUACAGCUGCAUUGGAAACAGUGUCCAAAAGGUUAGCUCCAAUUUUUCCUAAAGUGUCACAGGGGUAAGAGAGUUCACAGAGUUCACAGUAGCUCUUCCAAAGGCGACAGGUCAUGAGAUAUCAUUAUGUAACUGAAGACUCUGACAUUUUCCAGAGGAUAAUUUCUGUUUUUGGCUUUUUUCUGGUUGCGCUGUAAUGUUCAGUGUGUGACUUAUGAGUCCUGGAAUAUUUAUACAUCUCAGUCUCUAGAGGUAAAGAGGUCUCGCACUAAGCAGCAUAUGGCAAAGGUAUGCUCCUAAUGAUAGAAAAAUCACCUGGGUUGUGUUUUGAGUUCCUCCUAUUUCUGCAUCUUUACCAGGCACAGACUCUGCUUUGGUGACAAAGGCUGUCUGAAGAGCAUGUCCCAUCUCUGCCCAUCCCAAACAUCUGUCUGAUCUGCCAGCUGUAUCCCACAGUCACAGAAGUGUCAGGUAGUCCACAGCACUGUGCAGCCCUCCUUGGUUCCUGCAGACAUGCCAUGCAGGGGCUGGGUGUGGGCCCAGGGCUGGACCAUACUGUUAGCUAGCAGAAGCAUCACAGGAUCAGUCAGGAAGGCUCUUCUCUUUCACUAUCCUUAAUAAUCAAAAGAAAACUGGUGAUUAUCUGAUCUUUUUUUAAAAUUUUUUUUAUUUUUUGAUGUUCACUUGUGGGAUGCAUAUCAGCUCACAACAGGGACUAUCUUCAUGUGCUUUUAUCUCUUGGUUGAUGCUCAAGGGAUAUCAAUCUGAAUCUGUCUAAGUAUAAAAGCAGGAAGGGAAGAGAGAGUGAGAGAGUCCCUAGCUCCCACCACAGAUGGCUAAUAAUUACUGCACUGCUUCCUUCUCCUUCACAGCACAGAAAAUAUAGUUUUCUAUGACAAUGUGAUGACUUUUAGCUGUUUUGCACCUCAGUAACACUUUUGCAGAAAUACAGAAAUACCUUUGAACAGGUGGAAGCCUCUUUUACUUGUUCACAUUGGGUCAAAUAUUACGUCCUUCACCUUUAUUAAAUGGGAAAUUUUGUCUGAGUGGUAAAUGCAGGCCUGUGGGAAUGCAGUAUAGCUGCCAAAACCUUUCAGACAUGAAAAGCAUAAUAGAUCUUGAAAGGAAAUAUAUAUUCCAUUAGAAGACAUAGAUGGCUGUGCCAUCAGCCUGUUUCAGUUUUCAGUUUAACCCCUUAGUCUUUGCAAAGCUUUUUGCUUUCAGUUGGGGAUGACUUUCCACCAUCACGUGUCCUACUUCAGCUGGUUCAGCCCAGUGACUCCAGGUGUGUCUGGGGGUCCCAGAGCAUCCCUCCUGCUCCAGUUGUGCAGAGAGGCUCUAUUCUUCCAGAGGCCAACAGUGUUGCUGACAGGCCAUACAGUGUGUACCUCUCCUGAUGAGUGAAUGGCAGAGUUGCCAGUUGUCAGUUUACUUUCCCUUUCCCCCCCCACCCCCCACCUUCUCAGCAUCUCCCAGUCAAAUGCAAAUUCCCAAAGACUGCAGUUAUAAGACUGUUGUUAACAGCGCUGUAUUUUCCAAGGAAGCAGAGCAGAAGACCUCACUGCAUGGCUCUAUUUUACUUUGCAGUGCUAAUCUCAACCACUUUCCUUACCCAGCUCUCAUUUACACCUCCACCUGUGGUAAGGAUCAUAGAAUUGGAAGUGACCCAAAAGGAUCAUCGAGUCCAACUCAUGUCUCCACAUGGAACCACCCAAAAAUCAAACUCUGUCUCAGAGUGUUGUCUGAAUGCUCCUUGAACUCUGGCAGCCUGUGGCCAUGACCACAGACCUGAGGAGCCUGUACCAGGGUCCACCACCCUCUGGUGCAGAACCUUUUCCAUAUGAAGAUGACAUACCUUAACUAUGUUUCUUCCACACAUCAUGUAUUAUGUUUAAGCUCCAUGGAGAUGGAGUGCUUCUAUUGCCAGCAGCACUACUGGAGGGUGAAGUUAAGGCUGUGUCCUGUAAGAUGACUGUAGCAAUCUACAACUUUGAGUGCUUCUUAAGCCAGCAGUCUGUAGGGAAAUACUUUUCCUCAUUGAUUGCUGCAGUUUAUUAGGGAAUGUUAAUAGUGCAACAACUAUGAUGAAAAUAAAAAAAUUGCCUAAAUUGCACUCCAGAAUUAUCCUGACGUUUACACAACCAUAAAUAAAAUCUGAAGUUUGCCAGGAUAGAUUAAUUUUGGAUAAAUGACCAUGGGACAGGUUCUGAUUUCAUUUCUGUUGGGAAAUCAACUAAUGCCAAGUGAGAUUAAACCUUGUCUCCACGCUUGCCCUGUGCCAGCAUGAGAUAAAAAAUAUUCUGAGUACUCUUCCUCUGGGACAUACAAAUGAAUCUUGCAACAUCAGUGACACAGGCAUAGGCUGGUGCUGUACACCACACAGAGAACACCAUACAAAGUCUCACCUUGCCCUGAGCAGUCCCGGAUCUGACCUUGUUUCUGAAAGCUCAUCUGUGUGCCUGUUUUUGUCUUGUGCUUCUGGUUUUAAUGCAUUUCCUAAGCAACCGUAUGCCAAAUGUGAAUGCAGACUCAUACUGAGAGCCAGGCAGUGUGCUUUGACCCGUAUGUUUGAUGAGUGGGUACAAGCUGUGAUCAGGUUUUCCAAGUGAAAGCACUGCUGCCACAACCAUUUCCUGCCAUUUGCUUACACAGUAUUCUUUUUCCUUUCACCCUUCUAUUGUCUGGGACAAGUGCCACUGGAUGUGAAGGCAAGUCACAGAAUACCUCUAACUCAUUAUUCUCUCAUUUUAAAGCCUUUCUUGUACGCAUGCAAUGUGUUAGUAACUCAUGAGUACGCAGUGUCAUUAAUUUCCAGAACUGAAAGUCUUUGUGCAAUUCAGAAGUUAGUAAUUUCCCAGAGAAUAUAUGUUGUUUCACUUGUUUCCAUGAACUCAUGCUGAUUUAUAUCAAACUAGUGAGUAGAAACAAGAUGUAGGUGAUUACUACUCUGGUAAAAUACAGGAAUGACUGUGGAUCUCAAAGUAUUUUUGUCUCUCUACACUUAUAAGGCAGCUUGCUGGUAGCCUUGAAGACAUUUCCUCCUUCACUUAUACAUCUACAAUGAUACACUUCUUAUGUUUUGAUAGGGUCCAGCCACAUUUUUGGUAAAUCACCAUGUUCUGAAACCACGUGUAAAAAUACCUGCUUGUUAAGUCAGACUGAAUUUACCGAAUGUCGUCAAAACAAGAACUAGGUGAUAAAAACAAUACUCGGAAAAGGUUGGGGGACUAAUUCUGAAGUGUUUAGAUUUUUUGUGGUUGCAGUGCGUCAGUGGACUGAGCUGUGAGAACUACUGGAGAUGUUUUCUCAAUGUGUGUGUGCGUGUCUGUUGCUUUACUAGAUCAGUCAGUGUUUAUAAAUCCACCUCCAGGUGGUGGAAUGAACAUGUAGCUCCACGGUGAGAGUAUUCUUCUGGAAGCUUGGAAGCAAACACUGGAUAUUAGACAGCUCUUCUGGCUUCGGACUCAUUUGGGCUUUGAUUUGAGUACUGAAGUGUGUCAAGUUAACAGUGUGCAAUAUUUUAAUGCUUUACUUUACUUUCAGUGUUUCUAGGAAAUGAAUGAAGAAACCCACCACUAUAUUCAUAAACAUUAUGAUCAAGUGUGAUUAUCUGAUAAAAUGGAAGCAAGUUUUGUGCUGUCAGAGUACUUCAGACAGGGAAAAAGCGAGUGUUCACCAGCAUAGCCAAGAAUUUCACCAGGAAACUUCUGAUCUUCUUUAUCAAUGGCAACUUACUGCAUUGGACAGAAAUUGAAGAUAUUAUAGGUAUCUUAUAUAAAAAUAAGGUCUCUCACUGUCCUUUUACAGCUCUCCCAGUUUAGGAACUGCCUGUUUCUGAAGACAUGCUUUGUGUUCGAGCUUCUUGAAGCUCUAUACAGUCUGGUGCAGACCAUCUAAAGCUGGCCUCAAAUCUUUUGUUGUGUUACUGCUCUGCCCGGGUGCAAUUUGUGCUCACUGGAAGACAGCUGAAUCUAAGGCUCCACCGCGUGAACUCUCCAUCAGCUGCAUUAGGUGGACCUUGCAUGAUCUGAAUUGUUUUUCAGCCUACAGAGUAGUUAUUUGUCUUUUCCUAGUUCCUUGGAGAAGGCACUCAUUUGCCUGACAUACUUCCCAAGGUAUAUCCACCCUGCAUGCCACCAUCAUGUCAAACCUGCACCUGACAUGCAGUUCUGCUGCCAGAACUCUUGGGGGCAUCUGCCCACCAUUAAGACCUCCACUGUGUGCUUAAAUUUUUCUUCUGUAUUGGAAGGAAAUGUAAUAAUCAUUUCUGUCAGACCUGGAAGGAAAAUAUGGAAACUGGCUCGGUUUUUCAAAAACUGUGAUUGUGACAGCCUGCAUGGGAAGCUCCACUUGCAAAGAUGAAUGUUUCAUUAAUUUUUUAGGAUGUGAAAAUACACUGACACAUUAACUAAAGCAUUUGCUAUCUAGCCAAUGCACAGAUACUGUACAACAGUCAUAUUAUUGUACUUUGUUAUAACAGUCAUCAGAAAGCCAGCUAAAUUUAUAAUGGUGAAACUUCAAAGUGGGAAUUUUAUCCUGAUGAACGAUUACUUUGAAGAACUUACUGGUUUUCCCAAUGAAAAAUUACUAUGAACUCUCUCUCAAAAAAACUUUGAAUAAUGUAAAUCUCAAUCUAAAAGGCUGCCUGAGAAAGAUGGGGCAAAUUCUAUUAUUCAUAAUGAGUGUGCUAUCACUGGAAAUUAAUUAUCUCUAAAUCUUGUUGUUCUCUAUUGCUAUUCGAUACCUUAGUAGCAGACAAACAGUGCCUGGCGGCUUUAUCUGACCACUGUAUCCAAGCUGUACCCUAUCCUUUAAAGCCAGUUUCUCACAUAGUAUUGUAAAUAACAAUAAGGAGUAGAACUGAUUGCCUCCUCCGUUACUUAAGGUAUUCUGUAGUCAUCCCUGUUAGUCCAAAAAAGGCAUUAAAUUGUCUGGCCUAAAGGAAAUGUUUAUAUAAAGCAGAGAGCAGUGAAAAUGAGAAGUGUUUUUAAAGUUGGCUCCAUUUUGUAAGUAGUAGGAAAUACUGAAAACUCACAUAUGGAUAUCUACAUAUCUAUAUCUAUAUAUUCUAAUAGGAAAAAAAAAAGAAAAAGCCUGAAAUAUUUUUUAGUUUAUACUGAACGCAUCUGGUUUCACCAACCAUUUUCCUACAACUGGUGAGUGGCUUUCAGAUCUUCAGUUCAGAUUUCUCCCCCCCCCCCCCCCCCCCGAAAAAAUCACCAGUCUGUAUGCAUGCAUUUGCUGAAACAAAAUGUCUGGGUAAAGCAGCUCCUUGCAAAUGUUGAGUGAUGAGAGCUUGCACCCGAGAACACAGUGUGUGGAUUAAUGCAUGUUGUUAGAGAAUGAAGACUUGCACUUGGUGUGAAGUGCAGAGGGAAAGGCUUAGAGUGGUGGCAAACACAUUAACCUCCAUAGGCUCUAGAAUGCAGACUACUUUUGAUAUAUUCAGGAGAAAAGGUCACAGAAAAAUCUUGGGUGUGCUUUGUUAUUUUCAGCAGGGAAAAAUCUAAAACAAACCUUGUGGUUUUCUGAUCACAGUGUUCAGUACUUUUCUAUAGUCCUAAGAGGGAAGAUUCACUCAUCUUUUCCACAAGGGUGUGUAAAGCAGGGGAGGGAUAGCGUAUUUCUAAAAGAGGUAUUUAAUAUGCUGGUGCACAGAGCACUUUGUGUUCAUGGAUGCACCAAAAUCUUGGUUGCUGCUGAGACCCAAGUAAAGUAUUAACUCUUUCUUUUAAGAAUACAGAAUCCAAGGAUAUUGAUGUAGGCAUUGAAAAUAAAAACUAAAAAAAAACACAAAAAAAC